CUGGCGGCGUGCCUAACACAUGCAAGUCGAACGAGAACGGGUAUUAGUUUACUAAUACUGUCAGCUAAGUGGCGCACGGGUGAGUAAUAUAUAGUUAAUCUGCCCCAAAGAAGAGAAUAAUUGUUGGAAACGACUUGUAAUGCUCUAUAUGCCUUUAUCACAUAAGUGAGCAAGGGAAAUAUUUAUAGCUUUGGGAUGAGACUGUACGGUAUCAGAUAGUUGGUGAGGUAAUGGCUCACCAAGUCUAUGACGCCUAACUGGUUUGAGAGGAUGAUCAGUCACACUGGAACUGAGACACGGUCCAGACUCCUACGGGAGGCAGCAGUGGGGAAUAUUGCACAAUGGAGGAAACUCUGAUGCAGCAACGCCGCGUGGAGGAUGACACAUUUCGGUGCGUAAACUCCUUUUAUUAGGGAAGAUAAUGACGGUACCUAAUGAAUAAGCACCGGCUAACUCCGUGCCAGCAGCCGCGGUAAUACGGGGGGUGCAAGCGUUACUCGGAAUCACUGGGCGUAAAGAGCAUGUAGGCUGGUUUGUAAGUUGGAAGUGAAAUCCUAUGGCUUAACCAUAGAACUGCUUCCAAAACUGCAGACCUAGAGUAUGGGAGAGGUAGAUGGAAUUUCUGGUGUAGGGGUAAAAUCCGUAGAGAUCAGAAGGAAUACCGAUUGCGAAGGCGAUCUACUGGAACAUUACUGACGCUGAGAUGCGAAAGCGUGGGGAGCAAACAGGAUUAGAUACCCUGGUAGUCCACGCCCUAAACGAUGCACACUAGUUGUUGCUAUGCUAGACAUAGCAGUAAUGCAGUUAACACAGUAAG
rnacentral:rRNA from 1 species